UAGGGAAUCUUCCACAAUGGGCGAAAGCCUGAUGGAGCAACGCCGCGUGUGUGAUGAAGGGUUUCGGCUCGUAAACACUGUUGUAAGAGAAGAAUGACAUUGAGAGUAACUGUUCAAUGUGUGACGGUAUCUUACCAGAAAGGAACGGCUAAAUACGUGUCA
rnacentral:rRNA from 1 species